AGAGUUUGAUCCUGGCUCAGGACGAACGCUGGCGGCGUGCCUAACACAUGCAAGUCGAACGGACUGAUUCUCUUCAGUGAUGAAAGUUAGUGGCGGACGGAUGAGUAACGCGUGAGUAACCUGCCUUUCAAAGGGGGAUAACGUUUGAAAACAAACGCUAAUACCGCAUAACGUACAGUUGUCGCAUGGCAGCAGUACCAAAGGAGCUAUCCGCUGAAAGAUGGACUCGCGUCUGAUUAGAUAGUUGGCGGAGUAACGGCCCACCGAGUCAACGAUCAGUAGCCGGACUGAGAGGUUGAACGGCCACAUUGGGACUGAGACACGGCCCAGACUCCUACGGGAGGCAGCAGUGAGGGAUAUUGCACAAUGGGCGCAAGCCUGAUGCAGCAACGCCGCGUGCGGGAAGGAGGCCCUAUGGGCUGUGAACCGCUUUUGCCUGGGGGCAAUAAGGGCGUCGCGCACGUCCGAUGAGAGUACCAGGGGAAUAAGCAUCGGCUAACUCCGUGCCAGCAGCCGCGGUAAUACGGGGGAUGCGAGCGUUAUCCGGAUUCAUUGGGUUUAAAGGGUGCGUAGGCUGUGCGUCAAGUCAGGGGUGAAAUUCCGGGGCUCAACUCCGGGGCUGCCCUUGAUACUAUCGCGCUGGAGUGCGGAUACCGCCGGAGGAAUGAGUGGUGUAGCGGUGAAAUGCUUAGAUAUCACUCAGAACACCGAUUGCGAAGGCAUCUGGCGAAUCCGUAACUGACGCUGAGGCACGAAAGCGUGGGGAUAGAACAGGAAUAGAUACCCUGGUAUUCCACGCCGUAACGGAUGAUGGCUAACCGCCGGCGACAGACUGUCGGUGGCCAAGCGAAAGCGAUAAGCCAUCCACCUGGGGAGUACGUCGGCAAGGAUGAAACUCAAAGGAAUUGACGGGGGCCCGCACAAGCGGAGGAACAUGUGGUUUAAUUCGACGCAACGCGAAGAACCUUACCAAGCCUUGACAUUAAUCGCAAGGCGCAGAGAUGCGCUGUUCUUCUUCGGAAGACGAGAAAACAGGUGGUGCACGGCUGUCGUCAGCUCGUGUCGUGAGAUGUUGGGUUAAGUCCCGCAACGAGCGCAACCCCUAUCUUCUGUUGCCAGCAUGUAAUGAUGGGAACUCAGGAGAGACUGCCGCAGACAAUGCGGAGGAAGGCGGGGAUGACGUCAAGUCAUCAUGCCCCUUAUGGCUUGGGCUACACACGUACUACAAUGGCUCUAAAUAGAGGGAGGCGAAGGAGCGAUCCGGAGCAAACCCCAAAAACAGAGUCUCAGUUCGGAUUGCAGGCUGCAACCCGCCUGCAUGAAGCAGGAAUCGCUAGUAAUCGCAGGUCAGCAUACUGCGGUGAAUACAAGGCCGGGCCUUGCACUCACCGCCCGUCAAG
rnacentral:rRNA from 1 species